UUUCCUCUGAGAAACAUGGUAAUUCUUCAUUGUUGAAUGAUGAGUAUUUACAUCAUAACCAUAAGAAUAUAGAAGGUUAUGAUGCUGCCCCUUCUUAUGGUGUGAGGUCCCUCUUUGGUGUAACAGCAUUACUUCCACUGAUAACAUCUGCAGUAUCUUUACUUGUGAAAGAGGAGCCUGUACAUGGCCCAGCAAGGGAUCACUCUUUAGGCAAUGGCUUCUUUGACAGUUCAAAACGUAGCAUUAUCCAGUUAUGGGGAGCUAUUAAGCAGCCUAAUGUUUUUCUUCCCACGCUAUUUGUUUUCCUAUUUCAGGCAACACCACAAUCAGGUUCUGCUACGUUUUUCUUCAUGUAUGAUCAACUUCAAGUCUCUUGUUCAGAUUAUUAUUAAAUGCAAGAUGCAAGUUUUUUAACUGAAGUUUGUUGAUUUUAAAACCAAUAAACAUGGUUUCACUCCAGAAUUAAGCUUGUUACUUCAGUUGCAUCACUUAUUGGUAUUGCGCUUUACAAUGGUUUUUUAAAGAAAGUUCCUUUAAGGAAAAUAUUCCUUGUGACAACUAUUAUUGGUUCAACUCUUGGGAUGACACAGGUAUCUGUCCCAAAAUAUCUUCUGUUUUAUUGUGUGGCCCUUCCUGUCGGUUUAGAUUGACUCAUGUGUAAUCGACGUGUUGAUAGGUUCUGCUGGUAACCGGAUUGAACCGGAUGUUUGGCAUUAGUGAUGAGUGGUUUUCAAUUGGGGAUUCCUUGAUCCUAUCUGUUCUUGGUCAGUUAAUCACUGAAAAAAGAAGUGCAUUGAAAGAACAUAUAGCACUUGAUAGGACAUAACAAUCAACUUAAUUGGAACUGAAAAGAAAGUCAUUACAAUCAACUAAAGAGGGUAUUUGGCUGAUAAAAAGCAAGAUUGUGACGGAACCGUUCUAUUUAUGGAAUUAUCGAAGUAGGUAGUGUUUUGGAGCUUUUCAUGUCCGUAGAUUUCGAGAAGUCUACUCAGCAAUAGAUUCAAGUUACAAACUAUAGGACUGGAAUCCAGCAAUAGAUUCCAGCUAAGAACUAUAAUACUGAGCUGAAAAACUAUUUACUUAUGAAUAAUAGUGUUGCACCGAAAUACGCAGGGAAGUAGCCAUUACUUUUGAUCCAGAUGUUUUGUGACACAAUCAGUUUUAGUUGAAAACUUACAUGAACCAGUGUUUACA